rnacentral:misc_RNA from 1 species
UUGAAGGGGACCUCCGGGUCCAACCUUAAACCCUUUGACUUAAUACCCGUUUCUUUGGCGGCUUGCCGUCAGAAGUUUUCUCAAACCCAUUAUAAACGUGUCGUCUGAACAACAUCAAUAAAAUA